rnacentral:misc_RNA from 1 species
ACAUAUAUCCAUAUCUUCUUCCAUUGAUAGUAGCUCUUCAGGAGGAAGUCCAUCAACAUGAGGAGAUUCUUUGUUAUUCAUACUUGGAGUCUGGGACUGCUCUUCUUUAUGAGACUCAGAAUUCACAUUUUUUUCUUCCAAUCUAUUAUUAUCAUGUAUUCCACUUUUAUCUUGAGAUUCUUUAGCUGACAACUGUGAAUCUCUUCCACCAGAGUCCCUCUGGCUGUGCUUGUCCUCCUGACCUUUAUCACCAAACUGACAGUUCCGCUUCUCAAUUUUUCCACUUUUUCGACUUGCUUCUCUAAGAUUACUAGGCCUACCCUGAUCAAGUGGGGAAUGCUCCAUAAAAUUUGGAGUUCGAUCCCUGCGAUCAUGAUACUGGUCCUGUGAGAACCUCUCUAAAUGAGUAGGACUUCUCCUAUAAUCAUGAUGACGG